rnacentral:rRNA from 1 species
ACGGCAGCACAGAGAAGCUUGCUUCUUGGGUGGCGAGUGGCGAACGGGUGAGUAAUGUAUCGGAACGUACCGAGUAGUGGGGGAUAACUAAUCGAAAGAUUAGCUAAUACCGCAUACGUCUUGAGAGAGAAAGCAGGGGAUCUUCGGACCUUGCGCUAUUCGAGCGGCCGAUAUCUGAUUAGCUAGUUGGUGGGGUAAAGGCCUACCAAGGCGACGAUCAGUAGCGGGUCUGAGAGGAUGAUCCGCCACACUGGGACUGAGACACGGCCCAGAUUCCUACGGGAGGCAGCAGUGGGGAAUUUUGGACAAUGGGCGCAAGCCUGAUCCAGCCAUGCCGCGUGUCUGAAGAAGGCCUUCGGGUUGUAAAGGACUUUUGUCAGGGAAGAAAAGGCGACUGCUAAUAUCAGUUGCUGAUGACGGUACCUGAAGAAUAAGCACCGGCUAACUACGUGCCAGCAGCCGCGGUAAUACGUAGGGUGCGAGCGUUAAUCGGAAUUACUGGGCGUAAAGCGAGCGCAGACGGUUACUUAAGCAGGAUGUGAAAUCCCCGGGCUCAACCUGGGAACUGCGUUCUGAACUGGGUAGCUAGAGUGUGUCAGAGGGAGGUAGAAUUCCACGUGUAGCAGUGAAAUGCGUAGAGAUGUGGAGGAAUACCGAUGGCGAAGGCAGCCUCCUGGGAUAACACUGACGUUCAUGCUCGAAAGCGUGGGUAGCAAACAGGAUUAGAUACCCUGGUAGUCCACGCCCUAAACGAUGUCAAUUAGCUGUUGGGCAACUUGAUUGCUUAGUAGCGUAGCUAACGCGUGAAAUUGACCGCCUGGGGAGUACGGUCGCAAGAUUAAAACUCAAAGGAAUUGACGGGGACCCGCACAAGCGGUGGA